UAAAACAUAACAAAGCCAAGAGGAAAGGAUUCUUCCAGGCAAAGGAAACUUAAUGGAGACAAGUCUUAUCCUUGAAGCAAAAUUUGUGUAAUUUCUAUCUCAAUUAUAGUAACUUUGCUUCUAGAUCAGCUUUAGGUAGCAUUGAAUGAUCCACUCUGUCAUCCAAUUUCAAACUGACCCUGGUUCCCUGUAGGGGUCUGAUGGGUUGUACAGUGGCAGUUACCAUCUUAUUUGGUGCUUUUCAGUAUCCCCUUGGAGAUCAGGGGAGUUUCAGUAACAUUUUCUGUUCUUCUCAUCUUUAUGCCCCUGACUUGGAAUGUAAAUUAGAUUUGCUCUUUCAACCUUAUGAAUUUGCAGCUGUGGACAAAAAGCUUCUUCAAGCCAUGUGCCUGAAGUAUAGGAGAAAAUUCAAAGUGAGGUACAUUUUCUCUUUUGUGCCAAUUAGGCUUAAAAAGGAAAUGAGAAGCUUUCUCCUAAGCUUGAAGUCAGAUAUUGAGUAAUUUUGGGUCUUUUUGAAAAUGAUAUCUAUAUGUAUAUUUGGCUUUUCAGCUUUUCAAAGAAUUUCCACAUAAAUUGUUUUGUUUUCUCCUUACUCCAUUUCUGUGAGGUGAGUUGAAGUUAUUAUUAGCCAUAGAUGAAGAUUGCUUAAAACACAGGAAUCACAAUGCAGAUUAGUGGCAGGGCUGAAACUGGAAUUUAAGACUUGUGAAUACAAGUCUAGUUGGAAAGGGUGAGUAUCUCUGUCCCCACUUGGGCCAGGUCAAAGGGACCACUGUGGGAGGGGGCACUUGUCUUCCCUUUGACAGCUUGUGAUGCAUUAACAGGUCAAUUAUAAGAAAAAUGAGAGUCAAGCUGGAUUUAUUCUAGACCAUGAGUAUGAGAUAUUCUUCUGAGGAAAUAAAACUUAAUUUCUGUCAUUUUGUAACCCAUUAAUAGUGAUUUAGGUAAUAGACCUGCUGUUUUUAUCCUCACUUCUGCAAGCAAAAAAUAAUUUCCCCUCCUUUAUUACAUUUGACCUUUACCUAUGAACUAAGUUGCCUAACACCAAUCAAUAUAAAACGAUAUUGCUUGUUAAAAUAAGGUUAUAUUGUGUUCUGAAACUAAUAAAUAUACAAUAUUAUUUAUCAAUGACUUAAACAUCUAUAUUUAAAUUUUUGUUUUAUAGCAAUCUACCAG
rnacentral:lncRNA from 1 species